UCCGUAGGUGAACCUGCGGAAGGAUCAUUACCAAUAUUACCUGACCCUUGGGAAAGCAUCGCUUAGCCUGUCAAUUCUGAAUUCGCGAGCGGUAUAGCGAUGCUCUACUGAGGGCUCUAGGAAAUAAUCAAACACCUGUGAACCUAUCCUACUUCUUCCGUGGACAACAUAUGCGAACCAUUGACUGGUAGCAUGUCCACGGACAUUAACUUAACAUUCUGUUUUACAAUCAUGUCUGAUAAUACUUUAAAUAAGUUAAAACUUUCAACAACGGAUCUCUUGGUUCUCGCAUCGAUGAAGAACGCAGCGAAAUGCGAUACGUAGUGUGAAUUGCAGACUUCCGUGAAUCAUCGAAUCUUUGAACGCACAUUGCGCCCUCUGGUAUUCCGGAGGGCAUGCCUGUCUGAGCGUCAACUCAUCCUCAAACAUAUGUUUGGUCUUGGAAGACGAGGGUUUAUAGCCCUCGCUUCUGGAAUCCAUUGGCAGUGGCUCACGCUUUCGCAACGUAGUAAGGCACAUAUUCGGUUGGUAAUGUUAGGCUUGGAGAAGCUUGGCCAUGGAACCCAAAUUACUCAUGGUUUGGACCUCAGGGAUCAGGUAGGGAUACCCCCUGAACUUAA
rnacentral:rRNA from 1 species